rnacentral:tRNA from 1 species
GCAUUAAUGGGGUAGUGGUAACCUGGGUCGUUGCCAUUAUGAGAAACUCGACCCGCCGGGGGUUCGAUUCCCCCUUAAUGCA